UUUUUCCGGUUGAUCCUGCCAGAGGCCACUGCUAUCGGGGUUUGACUAAGCCAUGCGAGUCGAGAGGUUUCUGACCUCGGCGUACUGCUCAGUAACACGUGGACAAUCUGCCCUGGAGAGGAGGAUAUCCCCGGGAAACUGGGAUUAAUACUCCAUAGUUCGUCUUAACUGGAAUGUUAUUCGAACGAAAGAUCCGUCGCUCCAGGAUGAGUCUGCGGCCGAUUAGGUAGUUGUUGGGGUAACGGCCCAACAAGCCUUUCAUCGGUACGGGUUGUGGGAGCAAGAGCCCGGAGAUGGAUUCUGAGACACGAAUCCAGGCCCUACGGGGCGCAGCAGGCGCGAAAACUUUACCAUGCGGGCAACCGUGAUAAGGAAACCCCGAGUGCCAGCACAGGCUGGCUGUCCGCCAGUUUAAAUAACUGGUGAAGAAAGGGCCGGGCAAGACCGGUGCCAGCCGCCGCGGUAAUACCGGCGGCUCGAGUGGUGGCCGCUAUUACUGGGCUUAAAGGGUCCGUAGCUUGAUAACUGGGUCCCUUGAGAAAUCCGCCAGCUUAACUGGCGGGCGUUCAGGGGAAACUUGUUUUCUAGGGACCGGGAGAGGUGAGGGGUACUGCCGGGGUAGGAGUGAAAUCCUGUAAUCCCGGUGGGACCACCUAUGGCGAAGGCAUCUCACCAGAACGGGUCCGACAGUGAGGGACGAAAGCUGGGGGAGCAAACCGGAUUAGAUACCCGGGUAGUCCCAGCUGUAAACUAUGUGCGUUAGGUGUGUCAGUGACCACGUGUCACUGAGGUGCCGAAGGGAAACCGUGAAACGCACCGCCUGGGGAGUACGGUCGCAAGGCUGAAACUUAAAGGAAUUGGCGGGA
rnacentral:rRNA from 1 species